rnacentral:rRNA from 1 species
GACGAACGCUGGCGGCGUGCUUAACACAUGCAAGUCGAACGGAAAGACCCUGCUUUUGUGGCGUGCUCGAGUGGCGAACGGGUGAGUAACACGUGAGUAACCUGCCCCUGACUUUGGGAUAACUUCAGGAAACUGGGGCUAAUACCGGAUAGGAGCUCCUGCUGCAUGGGGGUGGAUAGAAAGUUUCGGCGGUUGGGGAUGGACUCGCGGCUUAUCAGCUUGUUGGUGGGGUAGGUGCUUACCAAGGCUUUGACGGGUAGCCGGCCUGGGAGGUUGACCGGCCACAUUGGGACUGAGAUAGGGCCCAGACUCCUACGGGAGGCAGCGGUGGGGAAUAUUGCACAAUGGGGGGAAGCCUGAUGCAGCAACGCCGCGGGCGGGAUGCCGGCUUUCGGGUUGUAAACCGCUUUCGCCUGUGACGAAGCGUGAGUGACGGUAACUGGUAAAGAAGCACCGGCUAACUACGUG